rnacentral:rRNA from 1 species
CCUACGGGAGGCUGCAGUGAGGAAUAUUGGUCAAUGGACGAGAGUCUGAACCAGCCAAGUAGCGUGAAGGUUGACUGCCCUAUGGGUUGUAAACUUCUUUUAUAUGGGAAUAAAAUGUUCCACGUGUGGGAUUUUGUAUGUACCAUAUGAAUAAGUAUCGGCUAACUCCGUGCCAGCAGCCGCGGUAAUACGGAGGAUCCGAGCGUUAUCCGGAUUUAUUGGGUUUAAAGGGAGCGUAGGUGGAUUGUUAAGUCAGUUGUGAAAGUUUGCGGCUCAACCGUAAAAUUGCAGUUGAAACUGGCAGUCUUGAGUACAGUAGAGGUGGGCGGAAUUCGUGGUGUAGCGGUGAAAUGCUUAGAUAUCACGAAGAACUCCGAUUGCGAAGGCAGUUCACUGGACUGCAACUGACACUGAGGCUCGAAAGUGUGGGUAUCAAACAGGAUGAGAUACCCCAGUAGUC